UACGGAGGAUGCAAGCGUUAUCCGGAAUGAUUGGGCGUAAAGCGUCCGCAGGUGGCUGUGUAAGUCUGCUGUUAAAGAGUCAUGCUCAACAUGAUAAGAGCAGUGGAAACUACACGGCUAGAGUGCGUUCGGGGCAGAGGGAAUUCCUGGUGUAGCGGUGAAAUGCGUAGAUAUCAGGAAGAACACCGGUGGCGAAAGCGCUCUGCUAGGCCGCAACUGACACUGAGGGACGAAAGCUAGGGGAGCGAAUGGG
rnacentral:rRNA from 1 species